rnacentral:tRNA from 1 species
AGGGGAUUAGCUCAGUUGGUAGAGCAUCGGUCUCCAAAACCGAGGGUCGUGAGUUCGAGUCUCUCAUCCCCUGCCA